GAAGAAAUUGAGUUAUGUAUGGAGCUCAUGCUGAAAGCGAGUAGCAGAGAAGUUGUUUUGCUGAGACUAAAACCAAGGGAGAAGCUGGGACAUGGGAGGGAGAGAAACAGUGGUGAUGUGUGUUUGAGAGCUCUACCUGGGCAGCGUCAGCAUGGAGCUGUGCCAAGGUCCUGGAGGAGCACAGCCCCAUAGCUAGGUGUUUGUUGGCUGUAUCUUUGCGAAAAUGGUCCAUUGGCCUUUCGUUUCUUUAGAUGACAGCAAUUUGCAGCUUGCGUACAGGGUGCUGGAUGCUGGCAGGGCGGAAUGUAACCCUGACGUUGUUGGAAGAGUAGAAAAAGGAAAGAGAAGCUUGGCAGCAGGGUCGGAGCUGUUUGCUUAACCCAGCCCUGUGGUGUAAUGUGGGGGUCCACAGUUUGGUAAAAGGUCCCCAAGGUGAUGAAAACUGAAAACUCCAAGAGUAACUGUUAGGUAUGGAAGGUGCUAUUGCAUGCUUUUGUUUGUUUGCAUUUGCAACUUAAAAUGCAUGCAAAGACACAGCCGGGUGCUGUGUCUCCUGGAUGGAGGACUGGAGAGGUUCCCAUGCUGCUGAACAAACCCUGUGGCUGACUUGGAGCACCCGCACCUUGUCCUGCCCACCCCUCUGCUGCAGGCUCCUGCUUCCCCUUUGGGACCAGGCCGAGAAGCACUAAUUGUGCAGCUGGCUGAGAGCGUGCAAGAAUGGCAGCGCUAGCGGUGGAAGGGAGACCCAGAUCUCCCAAGUACCAGACCAGCAGCUCCUUCAAGGUGCACCCUUCUGCACAGUAUUUGCUCUGGUGGCUGUGUGGUGCUCAGCUCUUCUGUCCCUGAAGUAGAGCCUGGGCUGGGGCCAAUGCUGGCUGCAGCUGAUGGAGAAAGCCCCAGUGUUCUGGAGGUCAUCCUUAUUGCCACGGCGCUGCUCCCGGGGGAACCCAAAUACGUACCCUGCUUUCGCUGUGGUCCUGGGCCUCCAGGGGCAGGAGGACCCCCUUCGUCUUCCAACUGCAGGUCGAAGCCCCCACAUUUCACCGGUGGCGUGUCCAACGGUAGGGAAGGCCGCUCCGUUUCGCAACCGCAGAAGCCAGACGUGCUGCCCUCGACUUUCCCUGCAGACGUGUUUGUGUGGUUCGUUUCUGCCAGCUGGAGCUCAAUACCUUCUUUACAAGCUUCUGCUUUCUGCAGGCAGGCUGCCAGCGCAGCCCGUGAUAGGUUUUCAAUGGCUGUGCUGUGCAGUUGGGAACGUCGAACCCCAAAAUGCUGAUGGAAGCAAACUGGAGCUUUCUCUGCCCUCAUCAGGAGCCCUCCACCUGUCUGCUUGGGCUCUGCCACCGCCGUUUUAGUGCGAGGAAACACGUGUGUUGCGCUGCGACCCUGAAGGUUGGCUGUGGUCAGGACGGCACCUUGUAUGCGUUAAUGUUCCUCCGCUAGGCUUCAGAGCAUGGCACCGCUCUGGUGUCCCCACCCCAACGAGUGGCACGGCUAGGAAGGGUUUCUGCUGAGGACUUCUGUCUCCAGCUGAUGCAGUGUAAUACGGGCAAGUGUAUGGGUCCUGGCUCAGCAUUACUUCAACAGCCGCUCAGCUGGGAACGUCUCUAGGGAGCCCAUGGGCUCCUUCCUGCAGACGCUUCAGUGCUGCUUGGGAGGUCAGGAGGGUGACAAAGGGUGAGGAAAGGAGUUUUUGUCUUUAAAGGGGUUUUUCAGUCGGCUGUGCCGCCAAGUGACUCCAUAUUCAUCGGGCUACUGAGUGAGCAGAGUGUUGGUGCUGCUGUUUGCCUCGCCACAGGGAGAAGCUGCUGCUAUUUUAUAGCUUCUUCUUUUUUCCCUGUGGAAGAAGCUAUAAAUCAUAGAUGAGUCCUUUACCUAAAUGACUCUGCAGCUCCCACCAAGGCAGCCAGACUGUAACAACUCCGAGUCUUUUGGAAAGAGCAAUUCCCAUUCCCUUGUCCUCUGCUGCCAGCGGCAGAGCAUGCAGAAGCCCUGGGGGCUUGGUGGAUCAAACACGAGACCCCAGGAGUCUGUUUUCCAAGCCCUACGGUGCCACCGGUUCGUGGCCUUGCUUCUGCAGAAAUAUUGGACUUGGUAUUUUGCUUAAGCCAGCACUGGCAUGGCGUGGGACUGAGUUCAUAUGGCAGCAUCUGAGACAGGCGGAGGCCAACGCAGGAGGCAGUCGAGCUGCUUCUCAGCUGGAGCUGCACACCCUUCUCUGUGGUUUUUGCUUCUCGGGGAAUCUACAAGCCCCUUGAGACCCUUCUGUUGGUGUGGGAGCCAAGGCUGGCCCCUGUGCUUCACCUCCUUGCUCCGGUGCCAGUUUCCUGGUGAGACGUUUAUGAAGCUGCAGGCCUUCUGCUCGCCCCUAGAGCUGAGUUUGCUGGGGAAUUUCAGUCACCGCUGGCGAGGAGCUCUGUGAGGUGUUCAGCAUCUCCAAAGAGGGCAGAAAGCGGUGGCAGGAGAAGCAGCAGGGAUGCAGCUGACAGCAGCAGCCCCUUUCCCUGGGGGUGCCCCAUGGGCUCUGUAGCUCGUGCUGCCAGCAGAGCUGCCUGUUGUAGGCUGCUGCGGUGACUGCUGGGGGUGCAAGUCCAGAAGGAUCACCCAGCCGCCCAGCAGCAUUUACCAACCUGAUCUGAAGGUGGCCAUGCCUUGCCAGAGCUUCUCCUGGGAAGAAGCAGGCUCCGGGUACCUAACUCCUGCUCCGAGGAGCCCAGGCCAUCAGUAAAUGCCAGCCCAUUUGCUGAGGUAAUCUUCCAUUUGCACAAAAUAAUUUCAUUUUUGAGAGCGGAUACGGAAAGCACUGCCAGUAGCAUAGUGUGCCCUGACAAAUCAUGCCGUAUGAUCGGAGCCUUGAAAUCCCAGCCUGCAGCCCUGGCUCCAAAUGCGAGUGGCAUUUAAGCUGUAUCCCCAGGGAGACAACAGCACAAGCAUCACAUCUUCCUGUCCGGGAGGGCCUUUGCCUUGCUGUCUGAUAAUGUUCCUCAUGCUAAUUUGCCAGCAAUUACUUCAGAGCUUUGUCUCCUCCUGAACAACCUCUUGACUUCAGCUUUAUCAUUCUGUUCCUGCGCUGAAAUAGCACGUGUGUCUGCAUCAUCCCAACAGCACCUGGGUUAGGUGGAAUAAAGCCCGUGUCUGGGGUGUGUUUUCUGUUGGA
ensembl:lncRNA